rnacentral:rRNA from 1 species
AGCCUUGAGCCCUAAUUCAAGGUAAAGCCUGCCCAGUGCAGCAUUAUGUCAACGGCCGCAGUACCCUGACUGUGCUAAGGUAGCAUAAUCAGUUGGCUUUUAAAUGGAGUCGGGAAUGAAUGGAUUCAUAGGGUUAAGCUGUCUCUUUUAUAUUUACUUAAAUUUACUUAUUAGGUGAAAAUGCCUAAUAGAAGAAAAAAGACGAGAAGACCCUAGGAGUUUUAACUAAAACCAUUAAAGGUUACGUUUUUGUUGGGGCGACAUGAGAGUAUACAAUUAAACCUCUUAUUUAAAAUAGGCCGACUUAGUAUGGAAAUUUAAACUACCCUAGGGAUAACAGCGUAAUUCUUUUUGAGUUUGCGACCUCGAUGUUGGACUAGGAAUUUAGUGGGCUAGCCGCCUACUAUAAUUGUUCUGUUCGAACUAUUUUUCCU